rnacentral:misc_RNA from 1 species
GUAUAGACUUUAUAGGCACAAAGGCCCAUUAAUUACAUUCUUGAACAUACAAUAGGGUAUAUGAAGAAACAUAGACUUGAAAAUAUAAGAAGAGACAGAAAGUCAAUCCUCAAUCCUGAAUGCAAAAGCAUUCAGAGAGAUACUCAAGUCUACAAAAGGUGCACAGGUGAAGGUACAAAGAUGACAAGUGUGCACAUGCUCCCUAGAGAGCCAGCAACAACUUAUCAGGUUUAUUUCAAUAAUGAUCCUUCCGCAGGUUCACCUACGGAAA